AGUGAACGCUGGCGGUGGGCCUAGCACAUGCAAGUCGAACGGCAGCACAGUAAGAGCUUGCUCUUACGGGUGGCGAGUGGCGGACGGGUGAGGAAUACAUCGGAAUCUACUUUUUCGUGGGGGAUAACGUAGGGAAACUUACGCUAAUACCGCAUACGACCUACGGGUGAAAGCAGGGGAUCUUCGGACCUUGCGCGAUUGAAUGAGCCGAUGUCGGAUUAGCUAGUUGGCGGGGUAAAGGCCCACCAAGGCGACGAUCCGUAGCUGGUCUGAGAGGAUGAUCAGCCACACUGGAACUGAGACACGGUCCAGACUCCUACGGGAGGCAGCAGUGGGGAAUAUUGGACAAUGGGCGCAAGCCUGAUCCAGCCAUACCGCGUGGGUGAAGAAGGCCUUCGGGUUGUAAAGCCCUUUUGUUGGGAAAGAAAAGCAGCAGGUUAAUACCCCGCUGUUCUGACGGUACCCAAAGAAUAAGCACCGGCUAACUUCGUG
rnacentral:rRNA from 1 species